UCUCCUCCGGCAACCAUAUCCUUUCCUCAAGGAGUUUUAAGCAGAUAAGCUAAAUCCGAACAAUAUGCUGUACCCGAGAAAGGUGAGGUUUGUAGAACUGUUUUCAUGGGGUAAAUGGCUUCAACGGAAAGGGUUUAAUGGAAGAACACAAGAAUAAACACAAAUGUCUUCACACUUAAGAUGCGCUGUGAUUGACUUCAGUGCUGUGGUGGGAGGGGAGGAGAUAAACAGCCAUCCACUCAGCCUCUCUCUGCUGAAAGUGAUGGCUUCCUUCUAGCUGGCACACUUUGCAGGGGUUGGUUGUGCGCAGCUAGGGGCAUGAGCGUUGUGGCACCGUGGGACACUGUCUCAGCCUGCGAUUUGAGGGUUAUGAGCUCGGGGAAGAGACAGUUAAAGCUUCCUCACGCCAGCGAGAUGAGUUGUACCACACAGCGCCCAUGCCAGGCCAGCAGUCUGGAUGGAGCCGAGACAUUUAACUGCUCGUGCCAAGCAGUGCCAAGCACCUCUGGAAGCCCCUGCGUAGGACCCCAGAUUUAGAUUCAUGCUGCAGUCUGGGGGAGUGUUUUGACGUCUGCCGGGCUACCGUGAACAGCGCACUGCACACUGCCUCUGAGAUGAGACAGAGCUCUCCAGCCUGGGAGUCUGAGGAAGCCGGACCUGGGCAACGCUGCUCAGGGAAUAGAACAGCCCAGCUCACCAGUGGUCAGCAGGUUCCAGGAACAUCACUUCCUUUAUCCAGCAUCCUACCUCUGUGACUUGUAAAGAAACCAACCCAACUUCCAGUGGCACAACAGAGCUCAUGGAUGCCACAUUCUUCAAUAUCUGCACUUCCUCUAACAGUUGGAUAUGUUUUCAUUUGCUGGUCUGGGCAUUGUAAAGACCCCACUAAGUCUAAAAGGAGUGUUGAUAAUUCAAUUUAUAAACCAACUUUCUGAGUAAUCAUUAUGAUAUCCUUUUCUCUUUGUGGCCAAGAAUGUAUACUCUCUUAUCUUUGAUGGUCCCUGACGCUUUUACAUCACGAGACUCAAAGCAGAAGUGUACAGACAAUUAGGAGAUAACUCAAGCUGCUGAAUUUGAAAGCUGGGACAUGACUAGUGGAAAAUCAGUAGAGGUGAAGACCCUUUCAUGAUAAAUUGUGAGUGCAUUUGGACCAUGGGAAUAAUGUAUCUUUGGGCAAGACAAUGGGUGGCUUCUUGUUGAUACCUCCUGCUUGCUAUCUGGUGAAUCUUUGAAAUAAGCACUUUGCUCCCACAGGGUCAUGGAUGGCAUGAGUAUCUUGAGUGUCCUAGGGACAUCAGUGAUAUGACACAACGUGUGGAGGAGCCCCUCUGCUUCUACUGGAACCAUAAUUCAAUGCACAGAAAGGACCUCUGCGUUGGACUCAACCCUGAUGCAUCCUGUCUAUAUGGAUAAGGAGUAUUUUUGGGGAAACACUAAUGCUAAAGAAACUACAGCUUUUCUUCAGAGUUUGGAUCAUUCUGAACUACAUGGACUUAUGCUCAGUGAGUUUUAUGUUCUUUGGAAAUACGUCCUGUCGAUGCUGGUAUUGGAAAGAAAGAUAGAGAAGACACUCUUCCAGACAAGCAAAAGCAGGAGAUAUGACCUUGGCUCUGUGAGCUACCACAGGGAGGAACACAGUGAAGGCCUCUGGAAACUUCCAGAUAAGUGUGGGUGUGUUUUGUCAGAUGCCAGAAAGUGGGUACUGCAGAAGACUUCCUGUGUUUCCUGUGGAUAAAUACUUACACAAAACUAUUUAUUACUGUAAUGCAAGCUGGCUACACUAUGUCUUAUAAAUUUCAUUUGUUUUAACAGUU